rnacentral:rRNA from 1 species
UACGAAGGGGGCUAGCGUUGUUCGGAAUUACUGGGCGUAAAGCGCGCGCAGGCGGCUUUUCAAGUCAGGGGUGAAAGCCCGGAGCUCAACUCCGGAACUGCCUCUGAGACUGUAAAGCUUGAGUACGGGAGAGGUGAGUGGAAUUCCGAGUGUAGAGGUGAAAUUCGUAGAUAUUCGGAAGAACACCGGUGGCGAAGGCGGCUCACUGGCCCGUUACUGACGCUCAGGCGCGACAGCGUGGGGAGCAAACAGG